rnacentral:lncRNA from 1 species
AUAAAAAAACAAAUGAUACAAAAAGUAAAAAUAAUAGAUUUGAAAAAAAAGAGGAUAACAACAAUACAAAUAAAAGAAGAAAAUUAAUAGAAUUAAAUAAAAAGGAAAACUUUUAUCUUAUUGAUAAUUAUAUUACUAUAAAAAAAAAUAAUGAUAGUGUAAGUUGUAAAAAAUUUAACACUUUUAAAAAAAGUAACGAUAAAGUUUCAACUAAUUCGAUGUUAACUAAUUCUAUAACAAAAUACAAUAGAACAAACAAAUCUGAUACACCUAGUAUAUUCAAUUUUUUAACAAUUAAACAAAAAAAUGUCCAAAAAAAAGAUGAUACUUGUGAUACGUGCAAAUUGGUAACUACUACUACUACCACCACUACUACCACUACUACUACUACUACUAGUAGUAAUAAUAAUGACAAUAUAACAUUAAACACGAAUGAAAAGGAAAAAAAAAUAAAAAAUAAAAUUAAUAAUAAAGAUAGUAAUAAUAGUAAUAACAUAGAUUACAGUAAAAAUGAAAAUAUAAAUAACGAAGUAAACAAAAAUAACAAACAAACUUUACCUGAUAAUACAAAAGAUAUAUCUUUAAACGAACAAGAAAAAAAUAAAAAAAAUAUAAUAAUAUUUAAUAAAAGUAAACAAGAAAAUAUAAGCAAUAUAGAAAAUAAUACAACUGAAAAAAAAAAAAUAAAAGCAAAAAUAAAAAACAAAUCAAAUGAUGUUAAAGGAAAGGAAGAUAGUCCACUUAGAAAUGUGCAUAAUGAUGUACAUGAUAGUGAUACAAAUGUGGGUGUACAUAAUUAUGUAUAUAAUAGCAAUAGUAAUAAUAAAGAUAAUAAUAAGAGAGGAGCUGUCAAAACAUGUGCUAAAAAAAAUAACAAAAUAAAUAAAAUUGAUGAACUGUUUAAAAGUAUGAUGCAAAAUAAUAAAAAAAAAGAAAUCAUAAGUUAUGAAAAUAGUAACAACGAUUUCGAUAAUACAAAUUCAGAAAAAAAUGGUAUUAACAAAGAUUUAAGUGAUAUUAAUAAUUCCAUUAAAAAACAAAAGAAGGUAUGUCAAAAAAAUAUUAAUGAUAUACUGGGACAUACGACAGAUGUUGACAGCAAAAGUGAUGAUACAAGUGAAAGUAUUCGUGAUAAUCAAAAUAAUUAUAAGUUAGACAGCAAUAAUUAUGACAUAAAUAAUGAUGGUAACGAAUUAAAAAUUGAAACAACUAAUAAAACAGGCGAAAGUAAUAAAAGAAAAAAGGUUAUUACACCAGAAAAUAAUAUAAAUAACAACAACAAAC